GACCGUAAAAUGGGCAAGUUCAGUCAGUUCUGUUUCUAACAUGGCCUUUCGGUUUCUUCAGCGUCACCAUCUUCUUUGACAACGAGAGAAAAAGUCCGCUGCUGCGCCUUUGCCCUUGCUUGGCUCCCUGCCCCUUGUUCUCCACGUCUCAGCCAUGAUGGCCUCUGAGGGCACACGCACGUCUGUUUGUGGUGAAUCUUCAUUGUGUAGCACGGUGCCCAUGCAUUCCAUUGGAAAGGAAAUUCCUUGAAGCAGGGACUUUGUUUGUGGAUGUGGACUGGCCACACCUGGAAUCGAGGAUGGGCUGUAGCUGGUGCCAACUGAGCAUGUGCAGAAAGCCCGAGUUCAUGAAAGAAUACUCUGACUAUGAAUAAUAGUUUCAAUAAGAAAGACAGGAUGUGUUCUGAGAGGAAGACCGGGAGUUGUGACAGGCAGAAGAAAAAUGAAGCCAAACAACAUGGAGGUGUGUCAUCACCGCUGGAUUUUGUCCUGAUCUAUGUCCAGUCAUCUCUGUCGGGCGCCCAUUCAAGACGCAGCAUAUCUACUCUGAGUUUGAAGUCAUGGGGAUGAAUUCUACUUGAGCACGCCACACAGAAAAUACAAUGCUGGAGGUGAGCUUGCUGAGCAGAAGUGAGAACCUGAGUUCAAAUACCCAGAAUCCACCUGGGUACCGUUCUGGUGUCAUGAUAGCAUAUGUCCAUGAUCUCAUUUCUCCUAUGUGAGAUGAGAUGCAAAGGCAGGAGAGUUCCUGGAAGCUACUCUCUCUUUUUUGUCCUCUUGCUCUUCUCCCUCCUGUCCCUGCAGUCUCUCCCUCCCAGAUCUUAGGUUUAUCACACAUUGGUAAACACUAUGCUCUGACACUGAGAAAUGCCUACAGCCUCACACACUGCUUCUUCCAUAAUAAAAACUCAUUACAAGAAGAUGAACUGGAAACAGCCAUAAUAUGUGCCAAGUUACUUAUUCUUUAUUUACAUUUUAUUUAAAUUUUUUGUCCUUGUAGAAUAUAUUUUUAUAAUUUAGUGACCUAAUUUUCUCUUACAAA